rnacentral:rRNA from 1 species
GAUGAACGCUGGCGGCGUGCCUAAUACAUGCAAGUCGAGCGAACGGACGAGAAGCUUGCUUCUCUGAUGUUAGCGGCGGACGGGUGAGUAACACGUGGAUAACCUACCUAUAAGACUGGGAUAACUUCGGGAAACCGUAGCUAAUACCGGAUAAUAUUUUGAACCGCAUGGUUCAAAAGUGAAAGACGGUCUUGCUGUCACUUAUAGAUGGAUCCGCGCUGCAUUAGCUAGUUGGUAAGGUAACGGCUUACCAAGGCAACGAUGCAUAGCCGACCUGAGAGGGUGAUCGGCCACACUGGAACUGAGACACGGUCCAGACUCCUACGGGAGGCAGCAGUAGGGAAUCUUCCGCAAUGGGCGAAAGCCUGACGGAGCAACGCCGCGUGAGUGAUGAAGGUCUUCGGAUCGUAAAACUCUGUUAUUAGGGAAGAACAUAUGUGUAAGUAACUGUGCACAUCUUGACGGUACCUAACAGAAAGCCACGGCUAACUACGUG